UUUGAGUGGAAACUACUUGUUACUUUCUUGUGGAAGUUUUCUAGCAUGUACUAGUGCAAAAAAUUCCUCUCUACCUCCAAUGGCAAGAGGAUUGACAUUCAGUGCAGGACUCACAGCCCUUAUUGCUCUUGCACUAGUCCAUGAAACACUCAGUGCUAAUGAUCAUUACUGUCCCCCUUUUUCCUGUGGCAAUAUCCCCAACAUAAGCUUUCCUUUUCGAUUGAAAAGCGAUCCAGAAAUCUGCGGGGACUCAAGGUAUGAACUGUCAUGUGAGAACAAUCGAACGGUGUUACACUUAUUUGCUGGAAAAUACUACGUACAAAAAAUCAAUUACAAUAACUACACAAUCAGGGUUGCAGACUCUGGUAUACACAACGACAAUUACUUCUCCACCACCCCGAGUUUUUCCUUAUAUCGCUAUAAUUUCAGUAAUGGAUAUCAGUCUACAUAUACCACUUAUCAGCCAAAGUUAGCAAAGUCGGAGCCGUAUGAGUACCGGAGGAAGAAUUCAAAUAUGGAGUACGUGAAUCCUGUACUAUCAAGGAAUGUGGUUUUCAUGAGCUGUGAUAAACCAGUGAAUUCUCCUUACUAUUUGGACACUUCUACUUGCAUCAACAACUCUUCUAAUUAUAUAUCUCGUUCCAAGAGGUAUAGAUAUGUUAAAGUUGGUAGAACGAAUGCAACCGAAGUGGCUGACUCGUGCCGAGUAGAGAAGAUAACUCGGACAUCGUGGUCAAGAAAUGAUGACCAUAAUGUAUCCUGUAAAGAUGUCCACAAUGAAUUGGUAUAUGGUUUUGAGAUUUCAUGGUUCGGAGGUAAUUGUAAAAGUAUUUGCGGAAGACAGUACGAGUAUUGCUACCUCAAUGACACGAACCAUGUUCAAUGCUCCGGCAAGCUCAAUGUGUUCCAGGUCAUACUGAUCAGCUUUUGCUCGAAACAUGGAUAUUUUUUAUGCAAAGGUAAGGUAUCGGCACAAGUUGUUUUUGUUUUGUUUUGUAUUUUUUUUUUUCCCACAACGCAAUUGCACGAGUUGUGUGUGCUUGAUCUCCAACUUUUACCCCUUCACUUAGAUCUUAGAAACUAUGAAAAAAAAAACGAUUACCUAGUUGAUAACGGUGUAGCAACAUCACUCGUUUCAAAUGGGUUUUUCGAUGAUGAUCCUGCAGUGUCACACCUUGCAGUAAAAGAUUUACUUGGGACUCCAUGUGUGGUUGCAUUUAUAAUUUAUAAAUGGCGUAGGAGGAAUUUGUCAAUGUAUGACGCCAUUGAAGAAUUUUUGGAAAGCCAUAACAACCUCAUGCCCAUAAGGUACUCCUACCCAGAAAUUAAGAAGAUGACCAAUGGUUUCGCAGAGAAAUUGGGAGAAGGAGGCUAUGGCUCUGCAUUUAAAGGAAAGCUUCAAAGUGGUCAUCUUGUAGCUAUAAAGAUGUUGGAUAAAUCCAAAGCCAAUGGCCAAGAUUUUAUUAGUGAAGUUGCAACAAUUGGAAUGAUUCACCAAACAAAUGUUGUGCAACUCAUUGGCUUUUGUGUUGAGGGACUAAAGCAUGCUCUUGUAUAUGAAUUUAUGCCUAAUGGUUCUCUCGACAAAUACAUUUUUUCUCAAGAAAGAAGUAUCUCCCUAAGUAUUGAGAAAAUAUAUGAGAUUUCUCUUGGAGUAGGUCGUGGGAUUGAAUAUCUACAUCAAGGAUGUGACAUGCAAAUUCUACAUUUUGAUAUCAAGCCUCAUAAUAUUCUUCUUGAUGAGAACUUCAUCCCAAAAGUUUCUGAUUGGGCUAGCAAAACUGUAUCCUCCAGAUGAUAGCAUAGUUUCUUUGACUGCUGCAAGAGGAACACUAGGAUAUAUGGCCCCAGAGUUGUUCUAUAAGAACAUUGGAGGCAUCUCCUAUAAAGCUGAUGUUUAUAGUUUCGGCACGUUAUUAUUGGAAAUGGCAAGCAGAAGAAAGAACUUUAAUGAAUCUACUGACCACUCAAGCCAAAUUUACUUUCCAACUUGGGUCUAUGACCAACUUUGCGAAGGAAAUGACAUAGUAAUGGAAAAUGCAACGGAGGGGGAGAAGGAAAAAAUUAAGAAGAUGAUCAUAGUUGCAUUAUGGUGCAUACAAAUGAAGCCUAGUGAUCGACCUUCAAUGAAUAAAGCUGUAGAAAUGCUUGAAGGAGGAGUUGAAUACUUGCAAAUGCCUUCCAAGCCUUUCCUAUCAUCACAAGGGGAUGUAGGAGACAACUUAAAUCCAACUUGCUCAUCAGUUCAAUCAAGUGAAUCAAGUCAAUCAAGUGAAUCAAAUCAAUCAAGUGAAUCAAAUCAAUUAGCUCAAUUUAAAUGCAAAGCAUUUGAUAAAGUUGAUUUAUAUGGGAUUGUUUUAGGAAUUUUAGGUGUUGGCUAA